GGCGGUCCUAACGGAAUUCAGGCUUUAUCGAACCGGGCCAAAAAGCCUGGUUGAAAAACGGGCUUGAAAUAUUCUCCAACUGAAAGAAAAACAAAGAUAAGCUUUGAAUAAUACUCGAGACAUGGGAAGUUAAAGUGAAAUGAGUUGGCAGUGUUGUUACCUUUUAUAAUCUCCUGGGACCUUUCAAUGACAUAAGAGCUCAUUUCUGUAUGAUGGUAUGAGUUGCAAGUAACGUCAAUUCAAUAUACAAAAUAACAAAUCUAGGAACAGCAAAUCAGAUAUUGAACAAUAUACUAAACCAUAUUUUUCACCUGAACCGGGUUUUUACCAACAGUGUAUGAGAAGAAAAGUUGAUGGUUGUUUAGUGUCUUUAAAUGUUGUAAUAACACAACCUUUAUCUGUAACGCCCUCUUUGAAUUAUUUGAUUGUUGUAAUAAGUUUAGGAUAUAUUUAUAUGAUUAUGUGAUUUAUUAAGUGGAUUAUUUUAUUAUUUAGUGGAAUAGGAUUUGAAAAUAAAAUAAGAUUAAGUUGUGGGGGCUGUUUUGGAAAUUAGAUGAGUGAUAUUUUGUUAAGUUAUAUGUUG
rnacentral:lncRNA from 1 species